GAGGCAGCAGUAGGGAAUCUUCCGCAAUGGACGAAAGUCUGACGGAGCAAUGCCGCGUGAGUGAAGAAGGUUUUCGGAUCGUAAAACUCUGUUGUUAGAGAAGAACAAGGAUGAGAGUAACUGCUCAUCCCCUGACGGUAUCUAACCAGAAAGCCACGGCUAACUACGUGCCAGCAGCCGCGGUAAUACGUAGGUGGCAAGCGUUGUCCGGAUUUAUUGGGCGUAAAGCGAGCGCAGGCGGUUCUUUAAGUCUGAUGUGAAAGCCCCCGGCUCAACCGGGGAGGGUCAUUGGAAACUGGAGAACUUGAGUGCAGAAGAGGAGAGUGGAAUUCCACGUGUAGCGGUGAAAUGCGUAGAUAUGUGGAGGAACACCAGUGGCGAAGGCGACUCUCUGGUCUGUAACUGACGCUGAGGCUCGAAAGCGUGGGGAGCAAACAGGAUUAGAUACCCUGGUAGUCCACGCCGUAAACGAUGAGUGCUAAGUGUUGGAGGGUUUCCGCCCUUCAGUGCUGCAGCUAACGCAUUAAGCACUCCGCCUGGGGA
rnacentral:rRNA from 1 species